rnacentral:rRNA from 1 species
UACAUGGGGUGCAAACGUUGCUCGGAAUCACUGGGCGUAAAGCGCACGUAGGCGGGUUCUUAAGUCAGGGGUGAAAUCCUGGAGCUCAACUCCAGAACUGCCUUUGAUACUGGGAAUCUCGAGUCCGGGAGAGGUGAGUGGAACUGCGAGUGUAGAGGUGAAAUUCGUAGAUAUUCGCAAGAACACCAGUGGCGAAGGCGGCUCACUGGCCCGGAACUGACGCUGAGACGCGAAAGCGUGGGGAGCAAACAGG